rnacentral:rRNA from 1 species
AUUGAACGCUGGCGGCAGGCCUAACACAUGCAAGUCGAACGAGUGGCGGACGGGUGAGUAAUGUCUGGGAAACUGCCCGAUGGAGGGGGAUAACUACUGGAAACGGUAGCUAAUACCGCAUACCAUCGGAUGUGCCCAGUUGGGAUUAGCUAGUAGGGGGGGUAACGGCGCACAGAGGCGACGCUGCCUAGCUGGUCUGAGUGGAUGACCAGCGAGAGUGGAACGGAGAAACGGUCCAAACGCCUACGGGAGGCAGCAGUGGGGAAUAUUGCACAAGGGGCGCAAGACUGAUGGAGACAUGCCGCGUGUAUGAAGAAGGCCUUCGGGUUGUAAGGUACUUUCAGCGAGGAGGCGUUACUCGCAGAAGAAGCACCGGCUAACUCCGUGCCAGCAGCCGCGGUAAUUC